GGGGACGUUACGGAUUCGACAGGGAUAGUUCGAGCUUAAGCCGCGAGUCGAGGGGAUCGGCCUCGUCAAAACGUCAAAGCCAAUAAUAACUGGCAAAUCAAACAACAAUUUCGCUUUAGCUGCCUAAUAGUAGCUUAGCGGUUCCUCCCUCCAUCGCCCAUGUGGUAGGGUAAGGGACUCACUUUAAGUGGGCUACGCCGGAGUUCGCCGUCUGAGGACGAAGGAAGAGAUUAAUCAGACUAGCGACUCGGACGCCUGUCGGUAGGCAGAAGAGAUCGCGAAUUACGAAUAUGCCGACUACACUCGUAGACGCUUAAGUGCCGAUAUUUUUGGACGUGGGUUCGACUCCCACCGUCUCCACCA
rnacentral:tmRNA from 2 species